rnacentral:rRNA from 1 species
UACGUAGGGGGGCAAGCGUUGUCCGGAAUCAUUGGGCGUAAAGCGCGUGUAGGCGGUUCGAUAAGUCUGCUGUGAAAGUCCAGGGCUCAACCCUGGGAUGCCGGUGGAUACUGUCGGACUAGAGUACGGAAGAGGCGAGUGGAAUUCCCGGUGUAGCGGUGAAAUGCGCAGAUAUCGGGAGGAACACCAAUUGCGAAGGCAGCUCGCUGGGACGUCACUGACGCUGAGACGCGAAAGCGUGGGGAGCAAAC